UCCGAUAACGAACGAGACUCUAACCUACUAAAUAGCCGCGUGAUUCCAGUAUGCGUUUGGCUUGCCAGGCGUAUACACAUGUCGCGUUUGCUGCUUCUUAGAGGGACAGGCGGUAGUAUCCAAGCCGCACGAGAUUGAGCAAUAACAGGUCUGUGAUGCCUUUAGAUGUCCGGGGCCGCACGCGCGCUACACUGAAAGAAUCAACGUGUUUGACUGCUUACGUAGUUCCUGCGCCGUAAGGCGUGGGUAAUCCGUUGAAACUCUUUCUUGAUUGGGAUAAAGCCUUGUAACUAUUGCUUUUGAACGAGGAAUUCCCAGUAAGCGCGAGUCAUCAGCUUGCGCUGAUUACGUCCCUGCCCUUUGUACACACCGCCCGUCGCUACUACCGAUUGGAUGAUCUAGUGAGAACUUUGGACGAAUCGCCAAAACCGUUUACCGGGGUGAGGAUGAUUU
rnacentral:rRNA from 1 species